rnacentral:rRNA from 1 species
GCAACGAGCGCAACCCUCGACCUUAGUUGCCAGCAUUCAGUUGGGCACUCUAAGGUGACUGCCGGCUAAAAAGUCGGAGGAAGGUGGGGAUGACGUCAAAUCAUCAUGCCCCUUAUGACCUGGGCUACACACGUGCUACAAUGGGCGGUACAAAGGGUCGCGAACCCGCGAGGGGGAGCCAAUCCCAAAAAAGCCGCUCUCAGUUCGGAUUGCAGGCUGCAACUCGCCUGCAUGAAGCCGGAAUCGCUAGUAAUCGCGGAUCAGCAUGCCGCGGUGAAUACGUUCCCGGGCCUU